UUAAAUUUUAUUUAUUAAUUUUAUGUUAUUAAUUUAUAAGAAAAAUAAUUUUAUAAUUUAUUGUUUAAGUAUAUUAUAUAGAAAAAAUAAUUUUAAUAAUAGUUUAUUAGUAUUGUAAAAGAAUAUUGAAAUAAUUUGAAAAAUUUUUAUUUUAUAAGAAAAUAUUAUUUGUUGUACCUUGUGUGUCAGGGUUUAUUAAUUAAAUUUUAUAUUUAUAAAUUUCUCGAUUUUAAAAUAGUUAAUAAAUUAUAUUAGUUAAUGUAGAAUAAUUAUUAAUAAUAAUUUAUUGGAAAUGAAAUGUUAUUCGUUUUUAAAGGUAUCUAGUUUUUUAAGAAAUAAAUUUAAUUUAUUAAAUUGAUUAUUAAAUUGAUUAAAUAAUUUAAUGAAGAUAUUUAAAAGUAAUUUAUGGGAUAAGCUAUAAAUUAAAUAAUUAAAAUUAAAUAAAUUUAAUAAUAAAUAUAUGUUUAGAAUUAGCAAUUAUUUUUAAGUUUGUUAUAAAAUAUUUUAUAAUUAAUAUUAUUUAUUAUAAUUUAAUUUUGUAUUAAAAUAUUAAUUUUAAUUUAAAAAAUUAAUUAAUAAUGAUAAAAUUAGUAUAUAAAAAUGUAUAUUUAAAAAUUGAUUGGAAGGUUUAAAUAAAGAAUUCGGCAAAUUAAUUAAUAUUCGCUUGUUUAACAAAAACAUGUCCUUUUGAAUAAAUUUAAGGUUUAACCUGCCCACUGAAAUUUUAAAUGGCCGCAGUAUUUUAACUGUGCAAAGGUAGCAUAAUCAUUAGUCUUUUAAUUGAAGGCUUGUAUGAAUGGUUGGACGAAAUAUUAACUGUUUCAUUUAAAUUAAUAUAGAAUUUUAUUUUUUAGUCAAAAAGCUAAAAUUUUUUUAAAAGACGAGAAGACCCUAUAGAUCUUUAUAUUUUUAUUAAAUUUAAUUUAUAUAGAAAAAUUAAAAUUUAAUUUAUAAAAUAUUUUAUUGGGGUGAUAAUAAAAUUUAAUAAACUUUUAUAUAUUAAAUACAUUAAUUUAUGAAUAAUUGAUCCAUUAUUAUUGAUUAUUAAAUUAAGUUACCUUAGGGAUAACAGCGUAAUUUUUUUAGAGAGUUCAUAUCGAUAAAAAAGAUUGCGACCUCGAUGUUGGAUUAAGAGAUAUUUUUAGGUGCAGAAAUUUAAAUAAAAAGUCUGUUCGACUUUUAGAAUCUUACAUGAUCUGAGUUCAAACCGGCGUAAGCCAGGUUGGUUUCUAUCUUUAAAUAAAUUAGGAUAUUUUAGUACGAAAGGACCAAAUAUUUGAAAUAAUUUUUAUUUAAUUAGAUUUCUAUUAAAUUAU
rnacentral:rRNA from 1 species